ACAAACUUCAUUUCAUACCAAAAGAGUACCAUUACAUAAAUAUUACAAAUGCAUAAAAAGAAAAAAAACAGAAACUAAUACAUAAACAGAAACUAGUCCUAAUAGAAAGACAUACUACAUAAACUUCAAACUUCAUCACAAUAUAAUACAUAAACUUCAAACAUAACUACAUAAACUGCAUCAUAACAUAACUACACCAUAAUAUAAUUACAUUAAAUCAUCUUGAAAACUAGUACUAACACAAUUCCAAGAAAACACAAUAAACAACUUCAUAUUUUGCAGUUGAGCCUCCAUCCUAGCAACCUUCUGUAAUUUUGCUGAAUUAAUUCCCUCGACCUCUUCCAUUAUUUUCUCCAUUUUUAGUCUUUCAGCUGAAACAACAACUUCCAAGUUAGCCACCAUCUUCUUCAGAUAAUUUCUUUCAACUUUCACUGACUUCGGUGAAGUAUUCAAGUUAUGGAUUAGCAUCAUCACAUGUGGUAGCAUCUUUUCAUCACGUUAUUCCCACAAACCACAAGAAGAGGCCUCGUCAAAACGAGGAAAUUUGUAGAAUCGGCGACACCGUUCACUUCAGUCUUAGCCACAAAAUGAUUUGCUGAUAAACCACAACCACAAAGACGCGACGAACCAGAAGAGAUAGAAUUUUCAGACAUUUCGAAGGGAAAAACAAGAUUUAAUUAGUUGUAAAAGAGAAAUUUUGGAAGAAGAAGGGGGAAUCGAGGAACUGAUGACAUAUGCUCUAAAUUGGGAAGAAAACGAAAAAAAUGGGUUUAGGGUUAAA
rnacentral:lncRNA from 1 species